GACGAACGCUGGCGGCGUGCUUAACACAUGCAAGUCGAACGCUGAAGCUUGGUGCUUGCACUGGGUGGAUGAGUGGCGAACGGGUGAGUAAUAAGUGAGUAACCUGCCCUUGACUCUGGGAUAAGCCUGGGAAACUGGGUCUAAUACUGGAUACGACAUGUCACCGCAUGGUGGCGUGUGGAAAGGGUUUUACUGGUUUUGGAUGGGCUCACGGCCUAUCAGCUUGUUGGUGGGGUAAUGGCUCACCAAGGCGACGACGGGUAGCCGGCCUGAGAGGGUGACCGGCCACACUGGGACUGAGACACGGCCCAGACUCCUACGGGAGGCAGCAGUGGGGAAUAUUGCACAAUGGGCGGAAGCCUGAUGCAGCGACGCCGCGUGAGGGAUGACGGCCUUCGGGUUGUAAACCUCUUUCAGCACGGAAGAAGCGAAAGUGACGGUACGUGCAGAAGAAGCGCCGGCUAACUACGUG
rnacentral:rRNA from 1 species